UACGUAGGGGGCAAGCGUUGUCCGGAAUUAUUGGGCGUAAAGAGCGUGUAGGCGGUCCGGUAAGUCCGCUGUGAAAGUCCAGGGCUCAACCCUGGAAGGCCGGUGGAAACUGUCGGGCUAGAGUCCGGAAGAGGCGAGUGGAAUUCCCGGUGUAGCGGUGAAAUGCGCAGAUAUCGGGAGGAACACCAAUGGCGAAGGCAGCUCGCUGGGACGGUACUGACGCUGAGACGCGAAAGCGUGGGGAGCAAACAGGG
rnacentral:rRNA from 1 species